GUCCUGAUGAAAGUGUCUCUGCUGAUCUCAAGGAAAGUCAGCAGACCCUGUGUUUUUGGGGAGUUCGGUUGGUCACAAAGCUGAUAGCACUGGGAUCGCUGAUCUAUAAACACAAAAUGCCAUUCUCUAGACACAUACAGUAACAAGUUCCUGUACAUAAAAUGAGUGGAUAGUCUGACUGAGGGGACCAAGAUGUGCAAUAACAUCAAAAAGAAAUUGAAACAGGAUCUGAUAUCACAGAAACUGUGAUCUGAGACUGCAAUCUGAAAGAGAAAAAGAACAACAACCAGGAGGCCAUAUGCUGGACAGCUAUGAAAAUCUGACAUCAGAAUACUUUUGGGAUCUAUAAUACCACCUUGAGUUCUUCCAGUUGCAGCACACAGGAUGACAGAUGGCUUUGCACAUCUACCUCAUGCUGCAAUGCUCAUGCUUUAAAGGGUGAAGAGAUAUUUCCUGGGUAUUUUUCUGCCUGAAGUUAUGCUGUGCCACCUGUUACCCGAUUCUUCAAUUGCACCAGCUUUUUCUUCCAUGACACUUGUUGGCAUUCUGCUAAGGACACUUAGGUCAGUUCCUAAAACAGUCAACAAGAAAGUCAGAACAGAACUGAAACUGGCAGCAGAAAAUCAUGAGCAGAGGUUUGGAUUCACCAAAGUAUUUAACAGACUUACUCCCAAGAUCUUCCACUUAAACACUUUGAGAAAACUCAGCCUGAGGAACGAGGUUAUUUUGAUGGAUCAAAACCACACGGCAGUUCAAUGGAUUGUUACAUUGGCAUCAUUGGUGGAGUGACUCAUGGAGGUAAUGGUGAGAAAAGGGACAAGUGGACAGGAGAAGGAAAUGCAACAACUCCUAUUGGUAACAUAAUCGCUGAAUUUCCACUGUGAACAUCAGGCUUACGGAAGAACAAGCUGCUGAGUCCAUCCAGGAAAAAACAAACAAAACAAACAAACCAAACAACAAAAAAACCGUACUUCUGCUUAAAUGGUUUGCUGUGCUGUCACAAGUUCUGGGAUCCAUCCAGUGCAGAAUAGACAGAGCACAAUAAGGCUGAAUAUUUGAGUAUUUCUAUUCCUAAAUAAAUUCAAUACAAUCCUGGCA
rnacentral:lncRNA from 1 species